GGUUAAGCGACUAAGCGUACACGGUGGAUGCCCUGGCAGUCAGAGGCGAUGAAGGACGUGCUAAUCUGCGAAAAGCGUCGGUAAGGUGAUAUGAACCGUUAUA
rnacentral:rRNA from 5 species